rnacentral:rRNA from 1 species
CAUAUCAUAGCCUGAGACCGUGACGUGCGCACUGGGUCUGACAGCGGUCCCAGACUCCUACGGGAGGCAGGGGGGGGAAUAUUGCACAAUGGACGAAAGUCUGAUGCAGCAACGCCGCGUGAGGGACGAAGGCCUUCGGGUUGUAAACCUCUUUUAGCAGGGAAGAAGCGAAAGUGACGGUACCUGCAGAAAAAGCACCGGCUAACUACGUGCCAGCAGCCGCGGUAAUACGUAGGGUGCAAGCGUUGUCCGGAAUUAUUGGGCGUAAAGAGCUCGUAGGCGGUUUGUCGCGUCUGCUGUGAAAAUUCGAGGCUCAACCUCGAACCUGCAGUGGGUACGGGCAGGCUAGAGUGCGGUAGGGGAGAUGGGAAUUCCU